rfam:Colletotrichum salicis strain CBS 607.94 Scaffold_760.1, whole genome shotgun sequence.
GGUUGUAUAGUGUAGCGGUUAUCACUCCAGAUUUUGAUUGCCUCCAAAUUUCUGGUAACCCCGGUUCGAACCCGGGUACGACCU